rnacentral:rRNA from 1 species
UACGUAGGGUGCAGGCGUUAAUCGGAAUUACUGGGCGUAAAGCGUGCGCAGGCGGCUCCUUAAGUCAGAUGUGAAAUCCCCGGGCUUAACCUGGGAACUGCAUCCGAUACUGGAUGGCUUGAAUCCGGGAGAGGGAUGCAGAAUUCCAGGUGUAGCGGUGAAAUGCGUAGAUAUCUGGAGGAAUACCGGUGGCGAAGGCGGCAUCCUGGACCGGCAUUGACGCUGAUGAGCGAAAGCUAGGGGAGCAAACGGG